CGAAACCUAAACCUAACCCAGUAACCCCCAUUCGGCCAUUCCCCCAAGCCCCAAUCCCAAACGAACCCUAGCCCCUCUCUCCCUACUCCCUAGGUCUCACAGCCUCGCUCUCUGCAACUCCCAUCGCCGGUGAGAGACCUCCUCCCACCACCUCGCAGCCACCGCCACCUUCCUCCCAGCGCAGCCAUUCCACUGCUCCGACCCAGGACCUCCUCGCGGACAGAGCAGCCCAGCACUGCAGCACACAACCAGCGCCCAGCGCCCAGCAGGUUGGCACCACGCUUGCAAGUCGCACCCACCACCACCCUCGGUCCCUCGCAACUCGCAAAUCGCACCUAGCAGGCCAGGACCACCCAGGACCACUCGAUAGCCUAUUGCAAAACGCAGAGAAGACAGAAGAGAACUCGAACGCAGCUUGGAGGAAGCACCGAAGCAGCCAUCUCUCGUCGCCGUUCCUCAACGCCCAGCCACCGUCGCUGGCCUCGCCUUCUGCCUCCGUCGUGCAGCCACUGUCUCGACGGUGCCACUUCUGUUCCAUCGCGUCGGCCCUUCGGUCGUGCCCUGUUCCUUUCUUGCUACUGAUCUGCUCUGCUCUGUUCUGGCAUUUAGUUCUAGGUGUUAUUUUUUUUAAACUAUAAUUGUUGAAUAAUUCUUGUUACUUGUUAGUUAAUUCUACAAUGAAGUGGCUUGCCAAUGAGUUUUGGAAAUGUGUUGCCUCUCAAUUCUUCUGAAUCUCACUUGGUUCUAUAAUGUUAGUACUUUUUGCGUGUACAACUUGCAAUUCACUACUUUCUUGUCUGAUUAAAUUUUGGGUGACUAUUUUUCGUAACAAUUUAGUCAAAUAUAUCAAAUCAAUCUAUCGAUUUUCACUUAUCAGAUAGAAACUUGAGAAUCAUUCUUAUUUAAGUUGCAUAUGUGAUUUCACUUGUGCAUUACUGCCCCUUGGUGAGUGUGUAUUUAUUGCUAUGAACUAGUGGUCUAUUAGUAAAAUUGAUCCAUCAAUAUGAUGUAGUUUGAUUCAGUUGCCAAAUAAUUUGACAUCAACUUAAUUCACUUCUCUUUCUUGUCUUAUUGGCUCAAAUAUUAAUAUUUCUGGUCGUAUUUCAUAGCAAAGUAAAAAGCUCCUAUUGUUCAGGUUUUGCUCUUUGGAUUAAUUGAUUGACCAAAACAUAGAUGAUGUACACCUAUCCAAACAAUCUUAGUAUUGAUGCUAUUUGGAUGUAGGAUGAUAUAUCCAAUCAAUCAACAUCUUGGAGGCAACUUGAAUUAAUGCUGUUUAACUGUGGUUAAUCUUGUCUAAUUUGAAAUUCAUUCGAUGCAAUCAAUUUACAUUUCAAAUGUAGAUGGCAUUGAUAUAUGUAAGGCCAACUGCCAAAGGUACAUUUAAUUAAUAAUUGAAUGACCUUUAUAUCAUAUCCGUCACACUCUCUUAGACUUUAUAAAUGGCAGCGAACGGGAGUAGUGUUUCCAAAGCGUUCUUUAGAUGCGUCUCCAAUAUUUACUCCACCUCCUACCCAUCAAGCUUCAGGAAGUAUGCAUGCUGGAUAUGGGAUGCCAAGCGGUUCUUCAAAAACACUUGACAAAACAAUGGCAACAGAGAUAGAAACUUUGAGUUUGUCAAGCUUGGAAUCCAUGCGCCAUGUUAUGGACCUGUUGAGUGACAUGCUUCAAGCUGUGAAUCCUAGUGACUGUACGGCUGUAAAAGACGAAGUAAUUGUUGAUCUUGUUGAUCGCUGUCGCACCAACCAGAAAAAUUGAUGCAGAUGCUAACAACAACUGGGGAUGAGGAGCUUCUUGGACGAGGCCUUGAACUAAAUGAUAGUAUUCAGAGUUUGCUUCCAAAACAUGAUGCAAUUGCUACAGGGAAUCCCCUUCCAAUUCAACGUGCAGGUUCCAGCACUCCACCAGGUGAAGUUCUGCCAGAUGAAGCUAACUCAAAUUUCAAUCAAACUGAUGUGCGGAGCCCCAGCCAUCAGACUGACAUGAAGAGCCCCAGCCGCAGUCCCGUAGAGUCUAUUUCAAUGAUUGUACUCUGAACACUCCACAAGCUCUAAGGUUCAAUCACAAAAAGGGGCUGCAAGGGAACAAAAAUAAAUCAAAACAAUGAUGAUGGACAAGUUAAUCUGUUACUUUGAAAAUUUUUUACAUUCUCGGAUCAAUGUAUCUGAAUAUAACUAGGAUCUGGAUAUGGUGAUAGAAGGAUGUAUCAAAUUUUCACUGCGAGAUUAAGGGGAACAAAAGAAGUAUUUAGUUGAAGACCUAGAAUGUACUUACCAUGUCAACACUAACAGGCUUGCCAUCUUCUGCAAGGAUUUCGACUAUAGUUCCUGAUUGAUCAGCCUGUAUAUACACACACAAGACACAAAUUUGUAGUUCAAGAUGGAAAGAAAAUCUGAAGAACUGUGAAGUGAAGAUAAUGCUACAACUUAUGCAUCUCCCAUUGCUUUUUAAA